rnacentral:rRNA from 1 species
UACAGAGGUCUCAAGCGUUGUUCGGAUUCAUUGGGCGUAAAGGGUGCGUAGGCGGCGCGGUAAGUCGGGUGUGAAAUCUCGGAGCUUAACUCCGAAACUGCAUUCGAUACUGCCGUGCUUGAGGACUGGAGAGGAGACUGGAAUUUACGGUGUAGCGGUGAAAUGCGUAGAUAUCGUAAGGAAGACCAGUGGCGAAGGCGGGUCUCUGGACAGUUCCUGACGCUGAAGGCACGAAGGCCAGGGGGAGCAAAACGGGG